ACGUACACUCCUGCGGGAGGCAGCAGUGGGGAAUUUUACGCAAUGGGGGAAACCCUGACGUAGCGACACCGCGUGAGCGAAGAAGCCCUUUGGGGUGUAAAGCUCUGUCAGCUGGAACGAAAACAAUGACGGUACCAGCAGAGGAAGCAUCGGCUAACUACGUGCCAGCAGCCGCGGUAAGACGUAGGAUGCGAGCGUUGUCCGGAUUUAUUGGGCGUAAAGAGUUCGUAGGUGGUUUGUUAAGUUUGGUGUUAAAGAUCGGGGCUCAACCCUGGGACUGCACUGAAUACUGGCAGACUCGAGUGUGGUAGAGGCUAGUGGAAUUCCCAGUGUAGCGGUGAAAUGCGUAGAUAUUGGGAAGAACACCGGUGGCGUAGGCGACUAGCUGGGCCAUAACUGACGCUGAGGAACGAAAGCCAGGGGAGCGAAUGGGAUUAGAAACCCCAGUAGUCCCAUGAU
rnacentral:rRNA from 1 species